CCAGACUCCUACGGGAGGCAGCAGUGAGGAAUAUUGGUCAAUGGGCGAGAGCCUGAACCAGCCAAGUAGCGUGCAGGAAGACGGCCCUAUGGGUUGUAAACUGCUUUUGUAUGGGGAUAAAGUCAGUCACGUGUGAUUGUUUGCAGGUACCAUACGAAUAAGGACCGGCUAAUUCCGUGCCAGCAGCCGCGGUAAUACGGAAGGUCCGGGCGUCAUCCGGAUUUAUUGGGUUUAAAGGGAGCGUAGGCUGGAGAUUAAGUGUGUUGUGAAGUGUAGACGCUCAACGUCUGACUUGCAGCGCAUACUGGUUUCCUUGAGUACGCACAACGUUGGCGGAAUUCGUCGUAUAGCGGUGAAAUGCCUAGAUAUGACGAAGAACUCCGAUUGCGAAGACAGCUGACGGGAGCGCAACUGACGCUGAAGCUCGAAGGUGCGGGUAUCGAACAGGAUUAGAUACCCUGGUAGUCCGCACAGUAAACGAUGGAUGCCCGCUGUUGGUACCUGGUAUCAGCGGCUAAGCGAAAGCAUUAAGCAUCCCACCUGGGGAGUACGCCGGCAACGGUGAAACUCAAAGGAAUUGACGGGGGCCCGCACAAG
rnacentral:rRNA from 1 species